CACUAUUUCUGCAUCAUAUAUCUGAGGAAGACGAUAUCUGAUCAGAAUUGUCGCAAUGCGGGGCUUCAGGCUGGCAGGCAUUAUGAUGCUACUUACAGUCAUCAACACUCUAUGCUAUGGAGCGAUAACACGUAAUGAUCGGCCUAAUAAGUCAGCAACCGUGCUCCGACAUGGUUCAAUAAAAGUGCAUGAUGGACCUAAU